CAAUAGCGUAUAUUAAAGUUGUUGCAGUUAAAAAGCUCGUAGUUGGAUUUGUGGCGUACGGUGUGUUCCGGGCACUUGUUGUCUGAGUAACCUGCUGUUGCCAUCCUUGGGUGGAACCUGUGUGGCAUUAGGUUGUCGGGCAGAGGAUCCUCAUCGUUUACUGUGAAAAAAUUAGAGUGUUCAAAGCAGGCUUAUGCCGUUGAAUAUAUUAGCAUGGAAUAAUAAGAUAGGACUUUGGUACUAUUUUGUUGGUUUGCGCACCAAAGUAAUGAUUAAUAGGGACAGUUGGGGGUAUUCGUAUUCCGUUGUCAGAGGUGAAAUUCUUGGAUUUACGGAAGACGAACUACUGCGAAAGCAUUUACCAAGGAUGUUUUCAUUAA
rnacentral:rRNA from 1 species